rnacentral:rRNA from 1 species
GUUGUUCGGAAUUACUGGGCGUAAAGGGCUCGUAGGCGGCCAACUAAGUCAGACGUGAAAUCCCUCGGCUUAACCGGGGAACUGCGUCUGAUACUGGAUGGCUUGAGAUUGGGAGAGGGAUGCGGAAUUCCAGGUGUAGCGGUGAAAUGCGCAGAUAUCAGGAGGAACACCUAUGGCGAAGGCAGCUCGCUGGGACGGUACUGACGCUGAGGCGCGAAAGCGUGGGGAGCGAACAGG